rnacentral:rRNA from 1 species
CCGUAGCCUGGUAGCGGGGGAUAACUAUUGGAAACGAUAGCUAAUACCGCAUAAUAUUAAUUAUUGCAUGAUAAUUGAUUGAAAGAUGCAACUGCAUCACUACCAGAUGGACCUGCGUUGUAUUAGCUAGUAGGUGAGGUAACGGCUCACCUAGGCGACGAUACAUAGCCGACCUGAGAGGGUGAUCGGCCACACUGGGACUGAGACACGGCCCAG